rnacentral:lncRNA from 1 species
AGUUAUGGUUCACAAACUUCAAAAUGAAAUUAAAAAACUGACUGUUGAACUAAUGAAAGCAAAAGAUCAACAAGAGGAUCACCUUAAACACUUAAGAACCCUCGAAAAAACAUUAGAAAAAAUGGAGAGACAAAAAAGGCAGCAGCAGGCAGCACAGAUAAGACUGAUCCAAGAGGUGGAACUCAAAGCUUCAGCUGCCGAUAGAGAAAUAUACUUACUUAGAACUUCCCUUCAUCGAGAAAGGGAACAAGUGCAACAACUUCAUCAACUUCUUGCAUUGAAAGAACAGGAACACAGGAAGGAACUUGAAACAAGGGAGUUUUUUACUGAUGCUGACUUCCAGGAUGCCUUAGCUAAAGAAAUAGCCAAAGAAGAGAAAAAGCAUGAGCAAAUGAUAAAAGAAUACCAAGAGAAAAUUGACGUGUUAAGCCAGCAGUAUAUGGAUUUAGAAAAUGAAUUCCGUAUUGCUUUAACUGUUGAAGCCAGAAGAUUUCAAGAUGUAAGAAUUGGCACCCAACUCUUUAUUGAAAACAGAAUCAGUAAGAUAUGGUUUGAUGAGAGGACUUGUUUUAG